UACGUAGGUGGCAAGCGUUGUCCGGAAUUAUUGGGCGUAAAGCGCGCGCAGGCGGUCCUUUAAGUCUGAUGUGAAAGCCCACGGCUUAACCGUGGAGGGUCAUUGGAAACUGGGGGACUUGAGUGCAGGAGAGAAAAGUGGAAUUCCACGUGUAGCGGUGAAAUGCGUAGAGAUGUGGAGGAACACCAGUGGCGAAGGCGACUUUUUGGCCUGUAACUGACGCUGAGGCGCGAAAGCGUGGGGAGCAAACAGG
rnacentral:rRNA from 1 species